AUUGAACGCUGGCGGCAUGCCUUACACAUGCAAGUCGAACGGUAACAGGUUAAGCUGACGAGUGGCGAACGGGUGAGUAACAUAUCGGAACGUGCCCAGUCGUGGGGGAUAACGCAGCGAAAGCUGUGCUAAUACCGCAUACGAUCUACGGAUGAAAGCGGGGGAUCGCAAGACCUCGCGCGAUUGGAGCGGCCGAUAUCAGAUUAGCUAGUUGGGGAGGUAAAGGCUCACCAAGGCAACGAUCUGUAGCUGGUCUGAGAGGACGAUCAGCCACACUGGGACUGAGACACGGCCCAGACUCCUACGGGAGGCAGCAGUGGGGAAUUUUGGACAAUGGGGGCAACCCUGAUCCAGCAAUGCCGCGUGAGUGAAGAAGGCCUUCGGGUUGUAAAGCUCUUUUGUCAGGGAAGAAACACCGGCUCUAACACAGUCCGGGAAUGACGGUACCUGAAGAAUAAGCACCGGCUAACUACGUGCCAGCCGCCGCGGUAA
rnacentral:rRNA from 1 species